UUAAAAUAAGGAAGUAAGGCUGUAGCCCAUACAUGGAAGUUAUUCCCGUUUCCAUUUCCUCCCCAUCAGUUCUGCUUUUGCAGUGGUGGUUGUUCAAAGCUUGUGUCUUCCGUGUGUAUGUGUGUUGCUUUUGUAGAAGCAGAUAAGCAUGUGCUUAACCACUCCUGACCUAAUUCGAUGCCCUGAAUCAGUAACCUUUGGAUCAUGGUAAAAAGUAAGCUCCAAUGUUUAUAAUUCAACUCAAACACUAGUUUUGUAUCUGGCAAUUGUAGCCAUGGCGCUAAGCAUGCUGCAGCUUGGUU
rnacentral:lncRNA from 1 species